rnacentral:rRNA from 1 species
UCACCUACGGGGCGCAGCAGUGAGGAAUAUUGGUCAAUGGCCGAGAGGCUGAACCAGCCAAGUCGCGUGAGGGAUGACGGCCCUACGGGUUGUAAACCUCUUUUGCCGGGGAGCAAAGAGCGGGACGCGUCCCGCCUCGAGAGUACCCGGAGAAAAAGCAUCGGCUAACUCCGUGCCAGCAGCCGCGGUAAUACGGAGGAUGCGAGCGUUAUCCGGAUUUAUUGGGUUUAAAGGGUGCGCAGGCGGCGAGUUAAGUCAGCGGUAAAAUUUCGGGGCUCAACCCCGACAAGCCGUUGAAACUGGCU